rnacentral:lncRNA from 1 species
GGUCCCUUGAAUUUGGUAAUACACAAUGUAUCCUUAACGAAAGGGAUAUCAAGCUCGUCAUAGAUGCCGAAUCUGUAAUUCAGGACAAGGUACAGCUUUGGAUACCGAUAAAGCUUCAUCAUCAUGCUCUUGGCAAACGAAUGGUGUGCACCCCUUUCCUUCCCAUUGAUAUGGCACAGGGAGAAGUCAUCACACUCCGGAUGUACAUACAUGAAGACAUACCUUACAUUGUUCAGAAAAUUCAGGAAGAAGAGGAAAAUCUGCUAUACCAUCGGGUACAUCCUGGGAGAUGUUUUGGUCUUGAACCUGAGUCAAGUGAUCUAGAGCUGGAAUGCAAUGGGGAAAGAAAGAUCCUCUCUGCAAAAGAUUUAUUCAACCGGCAGGAGACACUGGUUUCGCUGCCCAUCACGACGGAAACCAAUGCCAGAACGCAGAUAAUUAACAUCUCGGUUUUAGCAAGAAGUACCAACCAACCAAAAACCAGCAUGGCGUUCGUGGUUAAA